ensembl:lncRNA
AAGUCAGAAUCUCUGGGGGUGGAACCCUGGCAGCUGCAUUUUAAAAAAACUCCCUGAGUGAUUCCAAUGUUCAGCCAAGUUUGAGAAUUGCUGCUCUGGAUAAGACUUACCCUUCCAGUGUGUGUCACUGGGCAAGUCCUUCAUCCUGUUACUAUUGGAGAGCAGGGUCUGGUGGGUCAGCUCUGGUGCUCUGCCAGGUGCCAGCAUGCCGACAUUUGGAAGGUUGCUUCCGAUUGCCCAUUUCAGAUUCUGGCUUCGUCUGAGGGGAGGCCUCAUAGUGACAGCAAUGCUGUGAGUCCAUGGACUUUCAGGGGCAAGACCGCUUAAUUUGUAGGAGUUCUUCCAACCCUUCCUAUGUUCUUACUCAAAUCCUUCAUUGUAUGUGCUUCAAAUAUUGACACUCAAUUUGUUUCUUCUUUUAUCUUUCUUUAUGGUGUUCUUUGAUGAACAGAAAUCCUUAGUUU